rnacentral:rRNA from 1 species
CCUACGGGAGGCAGCAGUGAGGAAUAUUGGUCAAUGGACGAGAGUCUGAACCAGUCAAGUAGCGUGAAGGAUGACUGCCCUAUGGGUUGUAAACUUCUUUUAUAUGGGAAUAAAACAGGGUAUGCAUACCCUCUUGUAUGUACCAUAUGAAUAAGGAUCGGCUAACUCCGUGCCAGCAGCCGCGGUAAUACGGAGGAUCCGAGCGUUAUCCGGAUUUAUUGGGUUUAAAGGGAGCGUAGGUGGAUUGUUAAGUCAGUUGUGAAAGUUUGCGGCUCAACCGUAAAAUUGCAGUUGAAACUGGCAGUCGUGAGUACAGUAGAGGUGGGCGGAAUUCGGGGUGUAGCGGUGAAAUGCUUAGAUAUCACGAAGAACUCCGAUUGCGAAGGCAGCUCACUGGACUGCAACUGACACUGAGGCUCGAAAGUGUGGGUAUCAAACAGGAUUAGAUACCCCGGUAGUC